UCUUAACCAUCAAGCAUCCAGAAACUGAGCUUCAGACUGUACAUGUAUUUCUGUGAUGUGGUGAUCAUUCAUAAAUGUUGCAUUUGCCUAUCUCAAGCAGAGAUGCCAUUGCAAGUUAAAUUUGGGAUUAAUCUUGGGCAUCCAUGGGUCCCAAUACUUAAUUUAUACUGAAGUCAAGGACUCUAUAGUAGGACUUCAUCUCUUUAGCUGUCUUCAAAAAUUACCUUAUUGACUUUCUUGUUUAUUAAAGCUGGUAUCAGUAAUUGUGCACCUCUUCCAGUCUGCGAAAAGCAAAGUAACUUCCAUAAAGAAGCUUUAAAAGGAGCUUAUGUAGCUUCGUCAGGGAUACAAAAUGACUCAAUGAUGCUGGUACUUGUAAACUUUGUGUAAUAUAUAUGGAGCUGGCAGACACACCUUCUAUUUAAAGUUCCUUGAUGAUAACUAAAAAAUAAAGUAAAAAUCCUUACACUUUUGGGUAGCUUUAAAAUCUUGUUUUACUCAGAUAGACCAUGCCAGGUAUCUACUUUGAUUUGAAUUUGAACUUUCAACAAAAAAAGUUGAAAGGAAUGUUACAGGCAAAUACAUUAUUUUGCUGGAAUUUAAAACAAUUUUCCAAGUUUUUCAGUUACUCUAGUUCCUCCAUGCCUUUGAGUUAAGAGUGGGACUUUAGUAUUCUCCUGAGACCAGAAAUGUGCUGUUUGUCAUUAUUUUGACAGAUAAAUUCUCAUCAAGUGGUGAAAAUACCUGAAAUUUUUUUCUAGGUGUUGAUGUAUAUGCACUCGAAAGCAUGAGUGACUAUUGAUGAAAAUCUAGUUGUUAUGUCUUCCCUAAGGAGAACAUCCUUUGUGAUUGUUUCUCUGGGCUGGGAGCUGGUGCAGUAGCAUUGGGCUUGAGCACAGGGAGCGUCUCCCCAGUGCCACCCACCCCUCCUCUACCUUUGAGGCCCAGGACAGAUAAAGAAUGAGGAAACAGCCUAACAGAAGUUGCCAUGGAAGAAUAUUGGGCAGGGGUAGAAGGUGUCAGAAGAUGAGGAAAAGGGAAAUGAGCCUGGAAAAGAGUAGCAAAGUAGAAGCAUCUGUAAUGCUGCUGAUCUAUAGUUGACAGAAGAUAAUGUCUGGAAAGAAGAUAUUUUCUUCUGUUUAUAACAUGGAUCUUCAAUUUAAAAUGAGAACCAUGCUGUUCACCUGAAAUACAGAGUAGUGCUGGUGACCUAUUUGGAAGUGAAUAAUUCUUUAGGAUUUAGAAUAAUUACUGUUUUGCAACAAUAUGGUUUGUCUUGUAAAACCAAGUCUUAUAUACAGAUGUUAAGUUAUUGCAAAAUUAAAUAAUUGGAUACUAGGAAACAUCUGAAUGGUGGUAGAAGGGUGUUGUUUUGGGGCGUUUGAGUGUUUGUUUUCCAUUCAGACAGAAUUAAUCCUUCUCAAGUGAGCUGGUUUGUUAUUUUUUUUCCCCUUCUAAGUUAGUAUUACCUUGGCUUAUAAAAUGGGCCUUUUCUGGAGAUUAUAUUGAGAGUUAUUUGAAAGGAAAGAUGUAUUCAUGUGUCACUGAGGUGCAAAAUGAUAUAGCAGUUCAUGAAGAGGGUAAAAAAAGAUUUAAAUGCCUAUUAGCAGAACUGAGUUCUGUGUGAUGCUGAAUGAUUCAGGUAGACUAGAAUUUCAAAAGCUGAUGGCUGUGUAUUCACGUAUUCAGCAUAUCCUGCUAAUGAAACUCUGUUUAGCGCAGAGUUUGUUGAUGUAUGCAUACAUACCUUUGAGUACAUUUCAUUUGGGGAUAUAGUAAAUGUCCCUUUUGGGGGGCUAAACUUAUUUUGUAUUCUGAUUAUGGCAGGGAUCUCAUGGAAACAUAAUGUGAUUGUAUACUUACUUUAAUCUAGAGGGCAUAUCAAGGAGCAAAAUGAAGGUUACCACCAGCCCAGUUUCUGGUGUUUCCUGACACUUGAGUAAUUUACUUUGGAAUGUUAAUAUUUCUGUAAUAUAGUUAUAUGCAUUUAUUCCCUUAUGUAAUUAUGAAGGGCAUACCAGUGUGUGUAGUCUACAUUUUAUGACUAAUGCAGUAAUGCAUGCUGCAUAAUUACAGGCUGAUCUCUUGUCAUCUGUAGUCUGAACAGUGACACAGCAAGAAGUGCUUUAUGAAGAAGAACUAAUUAAUGCAGUGGUUCAGGUCAGACAGUUCUGCGAUACAGGAGGGAUUUCUAGAACCAUUGUAAAGUGAGAGAAUAGUAGUGCUUGUUGUUGACCAUAAUUGGUGAGGUAUCUGAAAACAAACUGCUGCUGCAAAAUUCUGUUAUCGGUGAUGUUGGGACAUUAGUUAAGAAUGACUGAGAGGAAGAAUUCCAUCUAUUGUUGGCAAAAUUGACAGCUUUUAUUUUCCUGGUAAUAGUGUCAACUCAUAUUGAUAAUCAUGAGAAUACUGCAAGACAUAAUUUUCAUUGAAACGUGUUUACCUCCCACAUUAAAACAUAUGUCUUUGGAGAGAGGACCUUUGAAAGACUAAGCGUAGAUUAAUGGCUGCUGGAUUUUACUUGAUUCAAGAGCUUUUCAAACGAUAGGUUGGGGUUUUGGUGGGGGUUUUUUGUUUGUUUUUUUUUAAAGCCUUUGUAACAAUGGUAUGAAUUUCAAGCCAAGCUUGCAUGUGAGCCAGAGUAACUGCAAAAUUUAUAAUAGGGUAUUUCUUCAAG